UCAGAACAAGGAUUCUACAAGGACUUCAGCUCAUAACAUGGAUUUGGUUGUUCUCAUGUUUUGGGAUGAUGAAUUAGUCAGCUAAUGUUUUAGCUUCCAUGGAUCAUUAUCUGAUAAAUGUGAACUCCAACAUGCCAAUAUUCCUCAAGUCAUCCAAGCUUAAAAAAACAAACAGAAAACAAUGAGCAAAUGGUCUACAAUAAUCCCUUGCCAAGCUUAUCCUCAAUUCCAAGCCAGUCAGGCAUUUGAUCUUUCAAGCCUCGCAAGAUGGCCUCAGAUUGAUCCAGCUCAUGCUCUAGCUGUGCCAUUUCAACUUUCAUUGCACUCAAGCGAGUGAGCAUCAUGGCCCUCUUGGCCUCAGCCUGUGCAUAGUGAAUCAGAGGCCCCACAGUAACAAAUUGAGUUCUUAACCAAUCAACCUUAACCUGUGCCCUCUCCAAAUCGCUCAAUGUACUACAAAUAAAGGAGAUAUCUGCAUCUGAUAGUUCUCGGGCAGUGUGCUGCUGCAUCAGUUGCACAAUCUUCACUAUGGAGGCUAGAAACUGGGCUCGAAACUGGGGCGCUGUAAAGCAGCAGUCAGCAGUUAUGUCCCCAUACUUGGUAAAUAUUUGCUCCAAAAUUGAAUAGCCUGCAGGAGAGAACCCAGGUCCUUGAACUUGAAUACUGGUUUCCCUGAUCCAUGCCAAACUUACUGCCAGAGCAUGUGGGCCUAUUUGGGGAAUAGACCCUUCAUCCCUUAUAAUCCCCUGGUGCUCGGCUUGGGGAGGAGGUUGUAGGUUUGAGCUUCCCGGCACCAAUGUGCUAGCAUUGGUCAUGGUUGAGAUGGGGAGAGUAGGAUUUUGGACUGCGGGUGGUGCUCUCCUACCCUGAAGUUCAUGACUCGAAAUAAUGGUAGGUGAUGAGUCUGAGCCAACUGUUGAAAAAGAGGAUAGGAUGGGCUUCUCAGGAGCACUGGUAAGGGUGGUUAGUGGCACUGGGGCCCGACUUGGAGAGAAGGGAGUAAGAAGUUCAACAAAGCUUUGAGGCAAAGGAAUUGAGACAUGAACAGCUGAAGUAGGCGGCAAUUCGGAGACCCUAUCUUUCACUAGUAUCCCAUCAUUAGAAAUGUUCUCCACAUCAUUAGCAGUGUGUUGUAGUACAUCCUCAGUGCCCUUUACCUCAACCUCUUCGUUGCCAUGAGUGAAUACCCAAUCUGGCAGAUUACUGCUCAUUGUAUCCUCCUUUUCCUCUUGUGGCUGAGGAGGAAUAAACACUUUUUUAGGGUGUAGUGGGGGUAAUUUCUUUCCCUUCUCAAGAGCUUGGGUAGUGCUUGUGGGUUUCCAGGCCUCAGCCUGUCGUGUUUUCUGGCCCUCAAAUGAUUCAGCUGCCAUAAUAUGAACCACUCCUGCAGCGUUGUUAGCAUCCCGAAUGGUUUGAUCUACGUCUUCAGCUUCAUCAAGGAUGGAGGGAGUAUGGACCUUGGAUAGACCCUAAGGCACCAGAAAAAGAAGAGUAAAAAAGAAAGUAUUCAUAAGUGUCUUUUCAAUUCGCCAACAAAAACCGAAAGGUGGGCAGAAGAGAAAAUGAUACGUUCAUUAAUUCCUAGUCAAAAAAAUUAAAACCUGGUAUUAGCUGUGCAUGAGAAGCGAUGGGUAGUUUUACCUCUUCUUCUGCCCUUUUGGAGUCGGU
rnacentral:lncRNA from 1 species